GAUUAACGCUGGCGGCGUGCAUAACACAUGCAAGUCGAACGAUGAAACUUUAAUGAACCCUUCGGGGAGAAUUAAAGCGGAUUAGUGGCGAACGGGUGAGUAACGCGUGAGUAACCUGCCUUACACAAGGGGAUAGCCUUUGGAAACGAAGAAUAAUACCCUAUAAAACCAUAAAAGCACAUGCAAUUAUGGUCAAAGUGAUAGCGGUGUAAGAUGGACUUGCGUCUGAUUAGCUAGUUGGUGAGAUAAAAGCCCACCAAGGCAACGAUCAGUAGCCGGCUUGAGAGAGUGUACGGCCACAUUGGGACUGAGACACGGCCCAGACUCCUACGGGAGGCAGCAGUGGGGAAUUUUGCACAAUGGGGGAAACCCUGAUGCAGCGACGCCGCGUGAUUUAGAAGGCCUUCGGGUUGUAAAAAUCUUUUGUAUAGGAAGAAAAUGAUAGUACUAUACGAAUAAGGUCCGGCUAAUUACGUG
rnacentral:rRNA from 1 species